AUUGAACGCUGGCGGAAUGCUUUACACAUGCAAGUCGAACGGCAGCACGGACUUCGGUCUGGUGGCGAGUGGCGAACGGGUGAGUAAUGUAUCGGAACGUGCCCAGUCGUGGGGGAUAACGUAGUGAAAAUUACGCUAAUACCGCAUACGAUCUAUGGAUGAAAGCGGGGGAUCGCAAGACCUCGCGCGAUUGGAGCGGCCGCUAUCAGAUUAGGGUGUUGGUGGGGUAAAGGCCCAUCAAGCCAACGAUCUGUAGCUGGUCUGAGAGGACGACCAGCCACACGGCAACGGAGACACGGUCCAGACGCGUACGGGAGGCAGCAGUGGGGGAUUGUGGUCAAUGGGCGAAAGCCUGAUCCAGCCAUUCCGCGUGCAGGAUGAAGGCCCUCGGGUUGUAAACUGCUUUUGUACAGAACGAAAAGGUUUCUACUAGUACUAGGAGCGCAUGACGGUACUGUAAGAAUAAGCACCGGCUAACUACGUGCCAGCCGCCGCCGUAA
rnacentral:rRNA from 1 species